UCCUACGGGUGGCUGCAGUGGGGAAUAUUGGACAAUGGGCGCAAGCCUGAUCCAGCCAUACCGCGUGGGUGAAGAAGGCCUUCGGGUUGUAAAGCCCUUUUGUUGGGAAAGAAAAGCAUUCGGUUAAUACCCGAUUGUUCUGACGGUACCCAAAGAAUAAGCACCGGCUAACUUCGUGCCAGCAGCCGCGGUAAUACGAAGGGUGCAAGCGUUACUCGGAAUUACUGGGCGUAAAGCGUGCGUAGGUGGUUGUGUAAGUCUGUCGUGAAAGCCCUGGGCUCAACCUGGGAAUUGCGAUGGAAACUGGGCGACUAGAGUGUGGCAGAGGGUAGUGGAAUUCCUGGUGUAGCAGUGAAAUGCGUAGAGAUCAGGAGGAACAUCCGUGGCGAAGGCGACUGCCUGGGCCAACACUGACACUGAGGCACGAAAGCGUGGGGAGCAAACAGGAUUAGAUACCCUGGUAGUCAG
rnacentral:rRNA from 1 species